rnacentral:rRNA from 1 species
CUCCAAUAGCGUAUAUUAAAGUUGUUGCAGUUAAAAAAGCUCGUAGUUGGAUCUCAGGGUGAGCUCAGUUGGUCGGCCUAACUGGUCAGAACUGGCUGACUCUCCUUGUUUCUGAAUCCGAUCGGGGGUUAUACUUCGGUUGUGGACUUCAGAUCGUUUACCUUGAAAAAAUUAGAGUGUUCAAAGCGGGCGUUGCUUGA